AAGCGUCUGUAGCUGGAAAAAUAAGUCUGUUUUCAGAUACUGUGGCUCAACCAUAGAAAGGGAAUGGAUACUGUUUUUCUAGAGGUUAUUAGAGGUUAGUGGAAUUUCCGGUGGANCGGUGAAAUGCGUUGAUAUCGGAAGGAACGCCAAAAGCGAAAGCAGCUAACUAUAAUAAACCUGACAGUAAGAGACGAAAGCUUGGGUAGCAAACGGGAUUAGAUACCCCGGUAGUCCAAGCCGUAAAUUAUGCUUGCUAGAUAUUUUCUCUACUUUAGAGGGAGUGUCGUAAUCUAACGAGUUAAGCAAGCCGCCUGGGUAGUAUAUACGCAAGUAUGAAACUCAAAGGGAUAGGCGGGGGAACACACAAGCAGUGGAUUGUCUAGAUUAAUUGGAUAAUAAGCCAAGAAUCUCACCUAAACUUGACAUGUACUGUGUCCUAUGUGAAAGCAUAGUAUUCCGAGCAAUCGGAUACGGUACACAGGUGGUGCAUGGUCGUCGUCAGCUCGUGCCGCAAGGUGUCUAGUUAAGUCUAGAAACAAGCGCAACCCUCAUCUCUAGUUAGUAUGUCUAGAGAGACUGCUCGGGCAACCGAGAGGAAGGAGAGGAUGACGUCAGAUCCUCAUGCCCCUUACGUUUAGGGCUUCAUAGGCAAUACAAUGGGUAAUACAAUAAGAAGCAAUAUCGUGAGAUGGAGCAAAUCUUUAAAAUUAUCCUUAGUUCGGAUUGUAGUCUGGAACUCGACUACAUGAAGUUGGAAUUGCUAGUAAUGGUAGGUCAGCUAUACUACCGUGAAUAUGUCCCUGUUCCUUGCACUCACCGCCCGUCAAACCAUGGAAGUUG
rnacentral:rRNA from 1 species